AUAAAUAAUUAACACUCUACAAAUUAUAAACUGAUCUGACGAUUUUAUUAGUCUAAGUUACAUAUUAUAAGCAGUAAACCAACUGUUGUCUCUAACUUAAAUGAUAACUUUAACCUACUCCUACUUCUAUCUGGUGUUACGUCCAAGAGUUCUAGCGCAAGAAACAGAAGAAUCGAAGAUAAAUAAUAUGAGACAAUUUUAUGAUACAAACAACUAGGAAAAGUUGCACAUGUGCGAGUAUUAUUAUAGAUCUAACAAUGCUAAUAUAUUUAUUUAUCACAUAUGUAAAACAAAACAACAGAGGGCGUUGUUCCGAAGAUCAAAUUAUACUAGGGUCAUUCGUAAAAUAAGGUUUUCUGUGCCGCUGAGAAAAUUUGGAAAAUCUAGCAAUACUGCCUUACACAUCAACUCUCCCUCACUCUUAGCCUACCACUUUCGCCUCGCUGCAUUACUCAGUGUUGGCCUAGCAGCCUUCGAAGAUGGAGGUUACGGUUUCUGUUACCGCGAAUAUGAAAUUCAUACUGUGAAUUGAUUUUUUUAAUGCAAAAUGAAUUUCACCUAUUGACAUUCAUCGUCAGUUAAUCGAAUUUUAUGAGUUAAUGUAUAUGAGUCGCCCAGUUGCAAAACUCGUAAUGUUAUUUUUAAGAAACAUCAAUAAACUGUAAAAAAAGUAAUGUAUAUCGAAAGCUCCUUUCACAUUUUUACUUAAUGUUUGUACAUUUGUACAUUAUAAUGUAUGUCCAGUCUCCUAAAAGAGAUUUGUUAAAUUUAUGGGCGGGGGGGUUAUUUUGGACAUAACGAGUUUUACUACAGUAUACUGGAUUAAACGAGUUUUGCUGCUCUAUUUGCGAGACAAAGAUUAAAAUAAAGAGAUAGAUCAUUUUAAGAACUUUUGGAUAAUGUAACAAAAAUGUUUCAGAAAUAUAUACAAAUAAAAUGUGUAAAUUAUUUCAGUUUAAAUCUAUUAAAUUUCAAUGUUCAUAUAGCUAACUCUUCUCCGGCAUUAUUGCUCUCACCAAUGUCUGAUUCGUUGUCUUGAGGAUCAGAAAGAGCUUUCUGUAGGUCAAAAAGUUUUUUAAAGAAAGUAAGAUCCUGGCUAUGUUCCCAUUCCUUGGAAAAAUGGUUUGUCAGAAUUGUAUUCAAGUCCUUUAAUUUCAAUUUUUUAUUGGUACACCUUCCCUCACAGAUUUUGGAUUCAAAGUUGACAACUGUUGCCCAGGCUUAAUAAUACUUUUCCCUACUCCUCAAACAAUGUUGUAGUUGGUUUACCUUCUUAGUUAGUUCUGUCUUUAACGUGUCUUAUUCCUGUUGAUCCCUGCAACGCGUAAUCCUGUCACAAAGGGAUAGGCAUGUUGAACAGACAUCUGUGGCAAGAGAGCCGAAGCCUAACCUAUAAUAAUUUUAAAAAAUGCUUCGAAAAUAUUCAUACUUAACUUUGAGACCUUUGUCGUGAGAGCCAACAGUAAUGACUUGUACUUGAAGGGACUCUACAAAAGCUUUUAAAGCAUUCUUUUUGUCUAUAUAUUUCAAUGACCUUCUGUCCCCACCACGUUGGUCUUUGGGUACAUCUCAUUAUUCAAGGAACUUUUUACACAACAACUAAAUUCUAUCUCUUGAUGCACCUAGGGUGUUUACAAAGAGAUUUUUGCACACUAGAACUAGUACUGGCCGACCACAUUUUAAAACAGGUAUGAAAUAUUUCGUUGAUAUUUCGUUCCCUUCCGGUUUCUAAAUCUCCAUUUUUUGGCCUCUCCUGAUAUCGUGUUGCUGCCAACACGAUAUACCACAAACCCUAUAAUGUCUUAGAAUUUAAUAUAAACAGCGUACAACGAAGAAUGGUGUAAGCGGAACUAUACAUAUUUCAGAAUGAACAUAACGAAAUUUGCAACCAAGAGGCCUGCUUCCUACCAAUUCCUCUGCGUCCUUCGGUUUUACCCAUCAUAAUAAGUUGAAUCGAAUAUUAUAUCGGUCUCCCCUUACCACGUGUCCAAAAUAGGCCAUCUAUGAGACAUGACGAGUUUUGAAACAGUUUUAUUAUGUUGGACAAAACAAAUUUUGCUUCAUUAUGAAAAUAGACGUAACGUGUUUUGCAGCAUUUAUUGAUUUUCUGAUACGUUUAAACAGGUUUAUAACGACUUUUGCAACACUAUAUAACAUGUUAUUGGAUGCAGGAGAUAAAAAUCUACAAAAUGGCGGUAUUAUCUUAAUUUUGAAAAAAAAAUGGACAAAACAAGUUUCGUUACUGGGCGACUCAUAUAUCUGUUCAAUAUGUUUGCAACUAACAGAAAUUCAGGAUGAGAUUAACGAUGAAAAUACGUAAUGAAUUUCACAUAGCGGUAACAGCAACUGAGACCUCCAAAAUCGAGGGCUGCUAUGCCGACACUGAGCAAUUCAGCGAGGCAAAAGUUGUAGGGCGAGAGAGAGGGAGAAUUUGUGUGUAAGGCAGUGUUGCCAGAUUUCUCCUAACACAUCACACUCUUUCUCAGCGGCAUAUGGAACCUUAUUUUACGAAUGACCCCCGUACUACUUCACCACUACGCCAAAAACAAUUACAUAGUAUGUACAUUUGAAUUUUUCUACAUAGUACAGUUCAUACUCUAUUUCUAGGUUAUCUACAAGCUAGAUAUGUAUAUAUUUCACUAUCAGUAAUAUAUAUAUCUACAGCUCAACAUACGUCGGGAAGUUUUUAGGCCAACUUGAAUUAAAUAGAUCGUCAUUGUUCGAUUUUGUCUAUAAUCGGUCCAAAAAAAGUAACCACAUAAGUAAAAGCAAAAUUAAACAAUAAAGCAAAAAAA
rnacentral:lncRNA from 1 species